rnacentral:rRNA from 1 species
UGGGGAAUUUCGGACAAUGGGGGAAACCCUGAUCCAGCCAUGCCGCGUGAGUGAAGAAGGCCUUCGGGUUGUAAAGCUCUUUUGGUCGGAAAGAAAGGGUUCGGGCGAAUACCCUGGAUCUUUGACGGUACCGGCAGAAUAAGCACCGGCUAACUACGUGCCAGCAGCCGCGGUAAUACGUAGGGUGCGAGCGUUAAUCGGAAUUACUGGGCGUAAAGCGUGCGUAGGCGGUUCUCCAAGUCCGUUGUGAAAUCCCCGGGCUUAACCUGGGAAUGGCAGUGGAAACUAGGGGACUUGAAUUUGGCAGAGGGGGGUGGAAUUCCACGUGUAGCAGUGAAAUGCGUAGAGAUGUGGAGGAACACCGAUGGCGAAGGCAGCCCCCUGGGCUGAGAUUGACGCUGAGUGCACGAAAGCGUGGGGAGCAAACAG